GCAAGGCACAGUGGAAACGUGCUACACAAUUUAGCGAAGCAUCUCACAAGACUCUAUUGUCGUCCAGCAUCAAUUGAUUGUGCUUCACUGUCAGUUGACGUCCUAAUUAAUCCUCAAGUGUAAAAUUGCCCAGUGAAUUGUGCCGAUAGGGUGACACCCUGAGCAGAGUGUGUCAUUGAGGAAUAAUUCCGGCUUUAUCGCCCAAAAGAUAAGAGCUCAGACUGGCUGAAUCACCUUGUGAAGAGUGUGUUAUUUUUGGAGACUUGGACGGAGAAUCAUCCGAGAGCUAGUGGUCAGUGUUUGGGGAACUCUCUCAGAUUGAUGAUGUUUUUGUGGAGAACAAAAACACCUACAUAUUCAAUCAUUUUUCGACCGGUUUCCUCAGCGUCUUCGUCUCGCGCGCGCGGAAAAAUUGGGAGUUUCUGUGAAUUGUGCUAAAGUGUGCCUUGCGUCACCUGCAACUAAUUAAAAUUCCAUCAAAUUGUAAAGCACUUUGAGGUGUGUGUUUUGACAAUUCACGGACAAAUUCUUGCCAAUUUGUGACCAAAUCUGUUCAGCAGAUAUCAUUUGAUUCGUGAGCCGAUUAGUGUCAAAGUGUGUGAUGCAAAUUGCCUAUGCAAUUAUGUGAUCAAUGCGAAUUGAGGCGAAAAUUCCUUAUUGAUUGCACAAGAGAGUUUCAUGUGAGAAUUUAUGGCAAUGUCAUUGUCGUUCAGCAAAUUAAAGUCCCUCCUCAAUGUGGCCGACAAUGGCAAGUCCAAUAGGAAAGUGUUCGAGAAGCUGGAACCCGUUGUGGGGUUCAAAAUGCAACUCGUGCCCGGGAACAACACAGCGUCGCAGGAAGGCGGGAGUCAGAAGGUGGCAUCGAAUGUGCCUGAGCUCUGUGUUCAUCUCAUAGGCGCGCGCCAUCUGCCCGUCACGUUCGGCCUGAAGACGGUCGAGGGCUAUAUGGUGAUGGUCAAACUCUUCCCCGGAUCCGUGCGCUACAACUCGCCCAUCGAGACAUCGUCCUGGCCCAAGUUCAACGAGAUCUUCAAGUUCCCCAUGGCGAGCUCCACGAAGAGCUCCAUGAAGCGCCCAAAGAACGCCGGCGUGGAGCAAACUCUACCUCAGAAACUCUUCAAGGGACACUUUGUGGUUCUCACCGUGUUUGCCUUGCUCGAACUGCCGCCCAAUAUGGGCUUCGCAGCCGGCAUGAGACAGACCUACCACUCAAUCAGGCGCAAAGGCAGUCUCCUGCUGAAGGACAUCAACAAGAGCACGGACAAGCCUGACGAGGAAGUGUCCAGCGGGGAGAUUCUCAAGCUCACCAAGAGCGAAUCGAGGAGGAAUGUCGGUUCAGUCACCUGCUUUCUUGAUCCCAAACUCUUCACGGAGAACACUAGGACGGGGAUUUUCCUGUCGGAUGAGUUUUGGUUGCCUAUCAAGGAUAUUACAGUGACACCGACAAACAGCACAAUAACGAAUUCAAUCAACUCCAGCACCAAAGGCCAAGUUGAGGUGAUUCUAGAGCUGUGCGACCCCAUCCAAUUGCCGGCGCCCGAGGAAGACACCGUGUCUCAGAUCUCAGACAAUCGCACAGCUUCCAGACGAUGGAGCAUCGGCGAUGUGAAGCGGAAGAUCAAGAGCGUGACGCGCAAGGAGAAAGCCACCCAUGGAGGACUCACGCUCAAGAUUACAAUGGCCAAAAUGCGGUGCGCCAUUAAGGUGAAGGAGGAGUUCGAGAACGUGGCCGGAACGCUUUACGUGAAGAUGUCUGUGUUCGAGAGGGACAUCCUGUUCAGCUCGUGGCGCAGUGACCCAUUUCUCCCAUCGCUCUCCACUCGAUGGGACCCAAGUGACUCCACCAUUCGCAUUCCACUCACAGACGUCUCAGAUCUCGAUCACAUUUCCAUUAAGUUCUCCGUGGCCACCAGAAGCAAGAUGGGCAAGAAGAUCGUUCUCGGGACACUCAUGAUGGGCGCUCCGGCGAGCUGUGCGAAAUUGGAGCACUGGGAGUCGAUGAUUGAGUCUCGUGGAUCACCAGUAGCCAUGUGGCACAGCUUCGAAUGAUAGUGACUCCAGCAUAGCCUAAAAUAAAUCUUUGACCACGUGAAUUGGGGCAUUUUUCGCGGGAAGAGUCCAUCGGCCGCGAAUUUUCAUGAGCGCGGCUCGCAGUGACGCCGUGGUGGGAUUCCUAAGAAGGCACACAUCGCAGAGUUUCACUGAACGAGAGAUUUCAGUGCUGAGACAAUCGCGCUGCGAGGCACACGAAGUCUUUCAGCUCAAGACGCGCGCCUCAGAAUCACUCUGUCACUCGUCGUGUUCAGUUAAUCUGUGUCGCUCUGGCAGGAAAAGUGCCCAAUUUCCACCAACACUCGACCGAUUAAUGGAGAAGUGGUGAUAAGGGGAGAGAGAGAAGGUCUCUCAGAUCUUGCAAUCAGAUGUCGGACUGCGUGCGAUUGUGUGUGGCGCCAAUUGAGCAUUCCUCCCACAUCGUAAAUUGUACUCUGCGGCCCGACUCGCGAGAGAGACAUUAGAGAGCCAUCGAGUGAUCAUUUGGCAUGAGACAGAGGCUGAAAGAGUGUCCAAAUUGCCCUCACGAGCCGCCCAGGAAAUUCCACUGCCAGGAGCGAUUUGUGGCCUAAUGUGUGAAUUAUCGCCAAUAUUUUCCGAUAAAAGGCGCGAAGGAGUCGAAAAAGUGCAUCACUCAAGUGCGAAGAGCCCACAGUUUUUGCCUUAACUGAAGACUUGGCCAUAUAGUAAGAGCUGUGCUUGGAUGGAGGUUGGACCGCUGUGCGAUGUGCAACAUUAAUUUGCAAUUGUGCGGCGCUCAAUUUACGCCCACGGACGUGAUUCAGCCACGCGCUGUAAUAUGUUAAUUUCGUGGUGGAUUUGAGUGAUAAGGUGACAAGCGUGACCAACAAUCAACACGAAAAGCACAAUGGACAGGAUUAUCUGCAGCAUAUUUCUAUUAAUUUUCCUCCUCCGCAUUGCAGCAGCCGCCAAGGGAAAUCAGAUGUGCUCCGCGGAGUGGUCAGCAAUCCAUCAGCCACGACGACAGCGACUACUUCGCCAUUGACGGGGCGCAUCAGAAGAAUCUGCUGGUGAAGAUCGUGAAGAAG